UAGGGAAUCUUGCGCAAUGGGCGAAAGCCUGACGCAGCCAUGCCGCGUGAAUGAUGAAGGUCUUAGGAUUGUAAAAUUCUUUCACCGGGGAAGAUAAUGACGGUACCCGGAGAAGAAGCCCCGGCUAACUUCGUGCCAGCAGCCGCGGUAAUACGAAGGGGGCUAGCGUUGCUCGGAAUUACUGGGCGUAAAGGGCGCGUAGGCGGAUAUUUAAGUUGGGGGUGAAAGCCCGGGGCUCAACUUCGGAAUAGCCUUCAAUACUGGAUAUCUUGAGUUCGGGAGAGGUGAGUGGAAUGCCGAGUGUAGAGGUGAAAUUCGUAGAUAUUCGGCGGAACACCAGUGGCGAAGGCGACUCACUGGCCCGAUACUGACGCUGAGGCGCGAAAGCGUGGGGAGCAAACAGGAUUAGAUACCCUGGUAGUCCACGCCGUAAAACGAUGAGUGCUAGUUGUCGGCAUGCAUGCAUGUCGGUGACGCAGCUAACGCAUUAAGCACUCCGCCUGGGGAGUACGGUCGCAAGAUUAAAAACUCAAAGGAAUUGACGGGGGUCAUAGCUGUUUCCUG
rnacentral:rRNA from 1 species